GGUUCCAUGGUGUAAUGGUGAGCACUCUGGACUCUGAAUCUAGUGAUCCGAGUUCAAAAAAUCUCAGUGGGACCU
rnacentral:tRNA from 2 species